GACGAACGCUGGCGGCGUGCCUAAUACAUGCAAGUCGUGCGAACCACUUCGGUGGUGAGCGGCGGACGGGUGAGUAACACGUGGGCAAUCUGCCCGACAGACCGGGAUAACGCUUGGAAACGAGUGCUAAUACCGGAUACGCUCUUGAAUCGCAUGGUUCGAGAGGGAAAGCUGCCUUUGCAGCACUGUCGGAUGAGCCCGCGGCGCAUUAGCUAGUUGGUGAGGUAACGGCUCACCAAGGCGACGAUGCGUAGCCGACCUGAGAGGGUGACCGGCCACACUGGGACUGAGACACGGCCCAGACUCCUACGGGAGGCAGCAGUAGGGAAUCUUCGGCAAUGGACGAAAGUCUGACCGAGCAACGCCGCGUGAGCGAUGAAGGCCUUCGGGUCGUAAAGCUCUGUUGUCAGAGAAGAACAAGUACCGGAGUAACUGCCGGUACCUUGACGGUACCUGACCAGAAAGCCACGGCUAACUACGUGCCAGCCGCCGCCGUAA
rnacentral:rRNA from 1 species